rnacentral:rRNA from 1 species
AUUGAACGCUGGCGGCAUGCCUUACACAUGCAAGUCGAACGGUAACAGGUUAAGCUGACGAGUGGCGAACGGGUGAGUAAUGUAUCGGAACGUGCCCAGUCGUGGGGGAUAACUACUCGAAAGAGUGGCUAAUACCGCAUACGACCUGAGGGUGAAAGCGGGGGACCGUAAGGCCUCGCGCGAUUCGAGCGGCCGAGAUCAGAUUAGCUAGUUGGUGGGGUAAAAGCCCACCAAGGCGACGAUCUGUAGCUGGUCUGAGAGGACGACCAGCCACACUGGGACUGAGACACGGCCCAGACUCCUACGGGAGGCAGCAGUGGGGAAUUUUGGACAAUGGGCGCAAGCCUGAUCCAGCCAUGCCGCGUGCAGGAUGAAGGCCUUCGGGUUGUAAACUGCUUUUGUACGGAACGAAAAGACUCUGGUUAAUACCUGGGGUCCAUGACGGUACCGUAAGAAUAAGCACCGGCUAACUACGUGCCAGCCGCCGCCGUAAUAC